GUGGUACUCCCUUCGUCUGAAAAGAAUUGUCUUUUAAAUGGAUGUAUCUAGCAUCAAGUUAGUGCUGGAUACAUCCAUUUGAGAGACAAGUUUGAGACAAGUUUUAUUGCACGGAGGGAGUAUUUG
rfam:Triticum aestivum genome assembly, contig: Triticum_aestivum_CS42_TGACv1_scaffold_210817_3AS